AUGGUACAACGGCGUCAGCAUCAUCCUCGCGGUGUUCCUCGCGUCCUCACUGCCGUGUCCGCCGUCAGCAACCACACCAGGCCACGCAACGAACCCAGCGGUUUGGUCAUCGAGGGGCACGAGUUCCGCCAUGUCGCCGGGCAGAAGGGCCACGUGGUGGACGUAACCGGCGACGGCACCAACGACGCGCCGGCGCUCAAGGAGGCCCACGUCGGGCUGUCCAUGGGCGUCCAUGGCACCGAGGCGGCCAAGGAGAGGUCCGACAUGAUCAUCCUCAACGACAACUUGGACACGGUGGUGACUGCCACGCGCUGGGGACGCUGCGUCUAGAACAACAUCCAGAAGUUGAUCCAGUUCCAGCUCACUGUCAACGUCGCAGCGCUCGUUAUCAACUUUGUGUCGGCGAUCAGCCGAUCACCACUGGCAAGAUGCCGCUUAUCAUCGUGCAGCUCCUGCGGGUGA
rnacentral:rRNA from 1 species